AUUGAACGCUGGCGGCAGGCUUAACACAUGCAAGUCGAGCGGAGAGAGGUAGCUUGCUACUGAUCUUAGCGGCGGACGGGUGAGUAAUGCUUAGGAAUCUGCCUAUUAGUGGGGGACAACAUUUCGAAAGGAAUGAUAAUACCGUAUACGUCCUACGGGAGAAAGCAGGGGAUCUUCGGACCUUGCGCUAAUAGAUGAGCCUAGGUCGGGUGAGCUAGUUGGUGGGGUAAAGGCCUACCAAGGCGACGAUCUGUAGCGGGUCUGAGAGGAUGAUCCGCCACACUGGGACUGAGACACGGCCCAGACUCCUACGGUAGGCAGCAGUGGGGCAUAUUGUACAAUGGGCGGAAGCCUGAUCCGGCCAUGCCGCGUGUGUGAAGAAGGCCUUAUGGUUGUAAAGCACUUUAAGCGAGGAGGAGGCUACUUUAGUUAAUACCUAGAGAUAGUGGACAUUACUCGCAGAAUAAGCACCGGCUAACUCUGUGCCAGCCGCCGCAGUAA
rnacentral:rRNA from 1 species